UACGUAGGUCCCGAGCGUUGUCCGGAUUUAUUGGGCGUAAAGCGAGCGCAGGUGGUUUAAUAAGUCUGGUGUAAAAGGCAGUGGCUCAACCAUUGUAUGCAUUGGAAACUGGUAGACUUGAGUGCAGGAGAGGAGAGUGGAAUUCCAUGUGUAGCGGUGAAAUGCGUAGAUAUAUGGAGGAACACCAGUGGCGAAGGCGACUCUCUGGUCUGUAACUGACGCUGAGGAGCGAAAGCGUGGGUAGCGAACAGG
rnacentral:rRNA from 1 species